rnacentral:rRNA from 1 species
UAAUACGAAGGGUGCAAGCGUUAUCCGGAUUCAUUGGGUUUAAAGGGUGCGUAGGCGGGGCGAUAAGUCAGUGGUGAAAUCCUGCAGCUCAACUGUAGAAUUGCCAUUGAUACUGUCGUUCUUGAGUACGCUUGACGUGAGCGGAAUGUGCCGUGUAGCGGUGAAAUGCUUAGAUAUGGCACAGAACACCGAUAGCGAAGGCAGCUCACGAAGGCGAAACUGACGCUGAGGCACGAAAGCGUGGGGAUCGAACAGGAUUAGAUACCCUGGUAGUCCACGCCGUAAACGAUGAUCACUCGUCAUUGGCGAUAUACGGUCAGUGACCUAGCGAAAGCGUUAAGUGAUCCACCUGGGGAGUACGGCCGCAAGGCUG